rnacentral:precursor_RNA from 12 species
GAAGAAAGAAGAUACUUUCACUCGACUUGCCCAUCAUUUGGCUCGACUGUCACUGUCCAAGUUCUUGUCAGUCUUGUCGAAUGGUGGGUCUGUUCUGUGAUCACUCAUCAAAAAAGAAC